rnacentral:rRNA from 1 species
GAUGAACGCUGGCGGCGUGCUUAACACAUGCAAGUCGAACGGAAAGGCCAGUGCUUGCACUGGUGCUCGAGUGGCGAACGGGUGAGUAACACGUGGGUGAUCUGCCCUGCACUUUGGGAUAAGCCUGGGAAACUGGGUCUAAUACCAGAUAGGACCAUGCUUUGGAUGGUGUGGUGGAAAGUUUUUUCGGUGUGGGAUGAGCUUGCGGCCUAUCAGCUUGUUGGUGGGGUGAUGGCCUACCAAGGCGUCGGCGGGUAGCCGGCCUGAGAGGGUGUACGGCCACAUUGGGACUGAGGGGAGGCCCAGGCUCCUACUGGAGGGAGCAGUGGGGAAUAUUGCACGAUGGGCGCAAGCCUGAUGCAGCGACGCCGCGUGGCGUAUGACGGUCUUCGUGUUGUAAACUCCUUUCGCAACUGACGAAGCUUUUUGUGACGGUAGGUUGUGAAGAAGCACCGGCUAACUACGUG